GAAAUGGAGCAAGUGUUCUCAGAAUUGUCCCAUAUGCUGCACUACAUUACAUGACCUAUGAGCGGUAUCGAGGAUGGAUAUUAGAAAAUUACUCUGCAUUAGGAACAGGACCUGUUGUAGAUCUUUUGGCUGGCUCAGCUUCUGGAGGAACUGCAGUUUUGUGUACAUAUCCCCUUGAUUUGGCUCGGACCAAACUGGCUUAUCAGGUCAAGGAGACAAGAGGAAAUGGCAGUAGAGCAACU
rnacentral:misc_RNA from 1 species